rnacentral:rRNA from 1 species
UCUUAUGUACAUGCCUAAACAUGGCGUUAAUGCAUCGGAUCCCAUUAUAACUUCGCAGUUAAGUGCGCUCGGGCUAGAUUAGUACUGGGAUGGGUGACCACCCGGGAAGUCCUAGUAUUUUACAUGCC